UACGAAGGGUGCAAGCGUUGUUCGGAUUUAUUGGGCGUAAAGCGCGCGCAGGCGGAUUAUUAAGCCAGAUGUGAAAUCUCGGGGCUCAACCCCGAAACUGCGUCUGGAACUGAUAAUCUAGAAUCUUAGAGGGGGAAGCGGAAUUUCGCAUGUAGGGGUAAAAUCCGUAGAGAUGCGAAGGAACACCAGCGCCGAAGGGG
rnacentral:rRNA from 1 species